rfam:Oryza sativa (indica cultivar-group) chromosome 10, whole genome shotgun sequence.
GCCCUUGAUGAUGAUGAUCUGAUCUCCCAUAUCCUUGCUGGUUUGGAUUUUGAUUAUAAUCCUGUUGUGUCCUCGAUUACGGGACGCACUGAGUUUGUUUCCUUUGGUGAAGUCUAUGCGCAGCUGCUGAGUUUCGAGC